rnacentral:tRNA from 1 species
GGCGGCGUAGCUCAGUUGGCGAGAGCAUUCGGUUCAUACCCGAACGGUCAUUGGUUCAAGCCCAAUCGCCGCUACCA